rnacentral:rRNA from 1 species
GAUGAACGCUAGCUACAGGCUUAACACAUGCAAGUCGAGGGGAAACGGCAUCGAAAGCUUGCUUUUGAUGGGCGUCGACCGGCGCACGGGUGAGUAACGCGUAUCCAACCUGCCCAUCACUUGGGAAUAACCUUGCGAAAGUAAGACUAAUGCCCAAUGACAUCCCACGAAGGCAUCCGAAUGGGAUUAAAGAUUUAUCGGUGAUGGAUGGGGAUGCGUCUGAUUAGCUUGUUGGCGGGGUGACGGCCCACCAAGGCAACGAUCAGUAGGGGUUCUGAGAGGAAGGUCCCCCAAAUUGGAACUGAGACACGGUCCAAACUCCUACGGGAGGCAGCAGUGAGGAAUAUUGGUCAAUGGGCGAGAGCCUGAACCAGCCAAGUAGCGUGCAGGAGGACGGCCCUAUGGGUUGUAAACUGCUUUUAUAAGGGAAUAAAGUGGGUCACGUGUGACUUUUUGCAUGUACCUUAUGAAUAAGGACCGGCUAAUUCCGUG